GACAGAGGGUGCAAACGUUGUUCGGAAUCACUGGGCGUAAAGGGCGCGUAGGUGGCUGGGUAAGUGUGCGGUGAAAGUCCGGGGCUCAACCCCGGAUCGGCCGUGCAGACUGCUUGGCUUGAGCAUAGUAGAGGCAGGUGGAAUUCCGGGUGUAGCGGUGGAAUGCGUAGAGAUCCGGAAGAACACCGGUGGCGAAGGCGGCCUGCUGGGCUAUUGCUGACACUGAGGCGCGACAGCGUGGGGAGCAAACAGG
rnacentral:rRNA from 1 species